ACAUACGACCAUAGACUCAAGAGAACUGGGCAUCCCGUCCGCUCUGCCAUACAUAACCUUGGGAUCGGUAGAUUAGUAGUUGGGUGGGUGACCACCAGCGAAUACCCACUGUUGUAUGUU
rfam:Geomyces destructans 20631-21 unplaced genomic scaffold supercont1.375, whole genome shotgun sequence.